rnacentral:rRNA from 1 species
GAUGAACGCUGGCGGCGUGCCUAAUACAUGCAAUUCGAGCGAACAGACGAGGAGCUUGCUCCUCUGACGUUAGCGGCGGACGGGUGAGUAACACGUGGAUAACCUACCUAUAAGACUGGGAUAACUUCGGGAAACCGGAGCUAAUACCGGAUAAUAUAUUGAACCGUAUGGUUCAAUAGUGAAAGACGGUUUUGCUGUCACUUAUAGAUGGAUCCGCGCCGCAUUAGCUAGUUGGUAAGGUAACGGCUUACCAAGGCCACGAUGCGUAGCCGACCUGAGCGGGUGAUACGCCACACUGGAACUGAGACACGGUCCAGACUCCUACGGGCGGCAGCAGUAGGGAAUCUUCCGCAAUGGGCGAAAGCCUGACGGAGCAACGCCGCGUGAGUGAUGAAGGUCUUCGGAUCGUAAAACUCUGUUAUUAGGGAAGAACAAAUGUGUAAGUAACUAUGCACGUCUUGACGGUACCUAAUCAGAAAGCCACGGCUAACUACGUG